rnacentral:rRNA from 1 species
GAUGAACGCUGGCGGCGUGCCUAAUACAUGCAAGUCGAGCGAACGGACGAGAAGCUUGCUUCUCUGAUGUUAGCGGCGGACGGGUGAGUAACACGUGGAUAACCUACCUAUAAGACUGGGGUAACUUCGGGAAACCGGAGCUAAUACCGGAUAAUAUUUUGAACCGCAUGGUUCAAAAGUAAAAGACGGUCUUGCUGUCACUUAUAGAUGGAUCCGCGCUGCAUUAGCUAGUUGGUAAGGUAACGGCUUACCAAGGCAACGAUGCAUAGCCGACCUGAGAGGGUGAUCGGCCACACUGGAACUGAGACACGGUCCAGACUACUACGGGAGGCAGCAGUAGGGAAUCUUCCGCAAUGGGCGAAAGCCUGACGGAGCAACGCCGCGUGAGUGAUGAAGGUCUUCGGAUCGUAAAACUCUGUUAUUAGGGAAGAACAUAUGUGUAAGUAACUGUGCACAUCUUGACGGUACCUAAUCAGAAAGCCACGGCUAACUACGUG